CACACAGGUCCCAGCGGAUGCCCCAUCUCGAAGGUUGUAAAGGCCGGUGCCCAUCAGUGGUGCCCACUAGGUCUGCAGGCACUGGGUAGCAUGAGCCACUUGAAGCUGGGAAGCUUUGGGACCCAUCUGUUACGCAGCAGAGGCUAACUGAUACAAGGGACGUGGGACUUGGGUGGGUGUGCUUCCUUUUUUACUCAGUAGAUAAGAAGACUGUUCAGACUAUAUGUAAGAUACAAGUAUUAACCUUCAGUAAACCCUGGAUUAUCUACCACCCAGGCUAAAAAAAAAAAAAAACAAUUUCUGAAGCCCCCUGAGUGACCUUCUUCAAACCCACCCCUGGGUGAAACGUCACCCUGAGUUCUGUUUCCUGCUCUUUGGAAUUUCAAGUCCUUUCCCCACACCUGCAAGGAAGCCCGAGGGAGGCUCUGGACCCACGCUCCCGGCCACUCACCCGCCCUCACAGCUGAGUGUCCCCACUGUCUGAGCCUGUCACACCUGGCUUGUCCACUCCACCAUGCCAGGCAGUUUGCAGAAUUACAGAUGUCACCGCGAGGACGAGUCCAACACCCGCCCCAGCUCAGGGUUCCUCCGGGUGCCCGGGGGGCCGAGGCGUGGUGCCCCUGCCGCUCACUUCACAUGCACGCUCGUCCACGCGGGCCACGACGGGCAGUCUGGAUGUCACUUCCGUGGGUCCGCAUCUCAAGCCUGCUCCUUUUCACAGAGUCUCUCUCGAAGAUCCCCCCUCAGUUUACACCCCAGUCCAGCCUCCUGCCACCGCACCAGUGCGCCAUGGCAUCAGACUGUGGACAGGUGUGGGAAGCGUUCUUAAUUACAGUUUUAAUUUGCUCUCACUGAACACCGGGAGCUUCUCCGCUCGGAGCUCCUGUUUCUCUUCCAGGCUCAAAUCCUUCGCUCAUUUUUAUCUUGUUAUCUGUCUGUUCCUGACUGAUUUGGAAGGUAGUUACACAUUCUGGACACUAAUCCUUUGUCAGCUGAAUGCAUUGAAAACAUCUCCUCCCAGUUGGUGGCUCCUGUGUCACUUAUUUAUGCCGCUGUUGAUGAAUUUUAAUGGAGCCGAAUUUGUCAGUCCUUCCCUUUUGUUUCACUUCUGCGGUUUUAAUAAACAAUUUCUUAGUCGGUGGUCAUGGUAUGUUCUCCUGUAUUGUCUCAUGAAAGUGUUACAAGCAUUUAUAUUACCAUUAAGUGCUUAAUCCCUCCAAAACUGAUUUUUAUGUGUGGAGUGAGGUAAGAGCCCCUUUGCUUUCUUUUUCAAGAUUUUAACCAAUUUCUCCAGCAUCAAUUACUAAACACCUCCUUUCCCCACUGAGGGCAAGGCCAUCUCUGUUAUUAACAGAAAUCACACACAUAUUACAUCACACAGAUAUUAUAUCCCACAUAUCACAUCACGCAGAUACUACAUCCCACAUAUAUCACAUCACGCAGAUACUACAUCCCACAUAUAUCACAUCACGCAGAUACUACAUCCCACAUAUAUCACAUCACGCAGAUACUACAUCCCACAUAUCACAUCACGCAGAUACUACAUCCCACAUAUGUCACAUCACGCAGAUACUACAUCCCACAUAUAUUACACGUUACUUCACACAUUACAUCAUCACUUCCUCCUCAGACUCUCCACAUUGUCAGGAGUGAACUUUGGCCGCCAGAGCUCCUCUGCACCCGCAGUAAAAUCUCAUCACCCACGAUUUGCACUUUCUCCGCACACUGGCCUCUGAAGUCUCCUUACUGUGCUGUGCUCAUUGCUCAGCCAUGUCCAGCUCUUUGCAACACCAUGGACUGUAGCCCGCCAGGCUCCUCUGUCCAUGGGGAUGCUCUAGGCAAGAAUACUGGAGUGGGUUGCCAUGUCCUCCUCCAGAGGAGGCCUCCUUACUUGCCUGAUAGUCCAGUGAUGUGAUGAAAAGAACCUUCACACAGAUGGCCUGUGGCAUUUAUCGUUGUUUGUGGUCAGAUUAUAUUCAUGGCGUUAUUAGCCACACGGCCAGGUGUGGACAUCCAGAAGUGGGAUAAACCCCUGAAUCGGCCACCUCCUCACCCGGCACUGGGAUAAACCCCUGAAUCGGCCACCUCCUCACCCGGCACUGUCAUUCAGACUUCAUGUCAGGUUUGCCGGUUCAGUCACAACGCCAGAUUGAUCACAGUCUUUUCUGGCAUUUCAUCCUGAAAUACACCCUGUUGAGUUCCUCCAGUGAAAGCAAGUUCCUGGUCUUGGCCUCAGACUGUCAGUUUUGAGCAUUUUAGCUGGGUAUAGAAUCUGGACCGACGGUGACUUUCUGUCAGCACAUACGAGGUAGCCCACUGCCCUCAGCUGCACUACUGCUGAUGCAAGCCUUUCUGAUUACCUCUCUUUCUUUGGACGGUAACAUUCUCACUCUCUGGUGAAGUAUAUUUUAUGCAUUUGUGUGUGUGUGUGUGUACAUCUGUGAAUUUGCCUUGUGUGUGUGUGUAUGUGUGUGUGUGCAUGUUUGUAUGGAUGGAUGUGGACGGACUGUUGUUCAGCCACUCAAUCCUGUCCAACUCUUUGCAGCCAACCCCACGGACUGCAGCACACCAGGCUUCUCUGUCCUUCACUGUCUCCGAGUUUGCUCAAACUCAUGCCCAUUGAGUCGGCGAUGCCAUCUGACCAGCUCAUCUUCUGUCACCCCCUUCUCCUCCUGCCUUGAACCUUUCCCAGCAUCAGGGUCUUUUCCAAUGAGUCGGCCCUUUGGAUCAGGUGGCAAAGUUACUGGAGCUUCAGCUUCAGCAUCAGUCCUUCCAAUGUACAUUCAGGGUUGAUUUCCUUUAGGAUUGACUGGUUUUGUCUGUUUACAGUCCAAGGGACUCUCAAGAGUCUUCUCCAACUCCACAGUUCAAAAGCACCAGCUCUUCAGUGCACAGCCUUCUUAAUGGUCCAACUCUCACAUCCAUACAUGACUACUGGAAAAACCACAGUUUGACUAGAC
rnacentral:lncRNA from 1 species